rnacentral:lncRNA from 1 species
AUGGAGUGUCCUUACCUUCCUGCCGGAGUGGUACCUAUUGAUCUACUCACAUUUGCAUGUUUUCGAACUGUAGGUUGGCAGAAGCUGGACCUAACACAAGGGCUCACCCCGCUCCCUGGAUUCAAACAGCCAACCAUUCAGUCAGCAAGUUCAGCAGCUCAAUGGUUUAACCACUUUUUUACUGUUCUGAUUUUAGAGUUUUUUAAUACUGGUAGCCAGAUUGAUGAGCAGUACUGACAAUGCUGCAGUUGCAGUUGUGACUUCAUGACAGUGUUUUUGUUUAUUGGAGGGCUGACAAAUCUUAAAUUACUGAGCAAAAAAAAGAGAAUGACAUUUCUUUCUCUGAAAAGUUCAGGAAAAAGGUAAAUAAUUUCUUAAACAGUCCUUUGGCAUAUAAGAUGAGUUGUUGCUUAGGAUUAUUUCAUUGACUGGUUGAAGGCUGUUUUUUCUGGAUGUUAAUUAAGACAGUUUUUGUUUAAACUUGUUUUUUAAAAAACAGGAAGAACUUUAAUUACAUUUCUUUCUUUAUUUGAUGUUAUCACUGUUUGCUGCAAUGAAUGUCAUUUCCUUUCUGGAAUGCAGGGUAGAUAAACAAUAAAAAAUAAUAGGGAACCCAGAUGAAAGCUGUAUUUGUGAGAGCACGACUCCUUGUGUUCAGAAAAGAAACCUUAUAGAGCUCUGACUGAGAAUUGAUAUAGCUUGGUAUUGAUACAAUUCCUAAGAGUUCAAAGUCUUCCCACCUACUCAAUUGAGCUUGUAAUUCUCACAACAAUCUUCUUAAUAAACUCAGUGAUAUGAUCAACCCAUAUUGCAGAUCAGAAGGCUGAGGUCAAGAGGAAAUGUCCACUUGAUGAGUUCAUGGCAGUCUCUCAUCUGCAACAUGAUACUGUGGCAGGUGAUAGCUAUAAUGUCAACGAGACCAUGCAUCCACUACAAAGUUUAGUCUGAACUUGAAAGCUACAAUCCAAGAAGCCAAACCAGUUUUAGGGGGAGGAAUCUAGUUCUUGGAUAACUAUGCAUCAUGUCAAUAUAGGCCCCUUCCACACAGCUGUAUAAAAUCCUACAUUAUCUGCUUUGAACUGGACUAUAUGGCAGUGUGGACUCAUAAUCCAGUUCAAAGCAGAUAUUGUGGAUUAUCUGCCUUGCUGUUCUGGGUUAUAUGGCUGUGUGGAAAAGCCCAUACCCAACUGGAACAUCUCUAACAUGUUUUGAAGCUAUUCAGACUUCCUGGGCUACAGAUUCCUGGACAUGGCAUAAAUCCUGGCAUAUUGUGGAGUGGGCAACUUUAGUGGGUCAGUGGACUUUUCAGAAAGCAGACAGACUUACAAAAAACAUGAGGAGGAGGAAGUAGAGGAGGAGGAAGAGGAGAAGGAGGAAGAGGAGGAAGAAGGGAAAUGGAAGGGAAGGGGGACAGGAGGAGGAGGAGGAAGAAGAAGAAGGGCUGGCCAGAAAAUCUUGGUGAACACGUGGAUCUCAAGGACCAGACCUGAUCAAAAAUUAGACAACUGCCUAUAUUCCGUGCUGUUCAAAAAUAUGCAAACCAUACCAUUCUGUGUCAUGGGGUAUUUGUCCUAUUGCUCAUCAGAGCUGAAAUCCAGCAGAUUACUGUUAGGGAAAGAAAUGCAGAGGGCAUUUGAGGUAACGGCAAACUUCAUUGAAUAAUCAGGAAGUUCUGUUCCCUUAUAUUGUGGCGUAUGUUUUUCUUCAAUGGCUCAUUUGCAAUUCCCCCCUCCUCCUCAAUUUUUUAAAAUGUUUCCUUUUGUACUGUUCAGACCAGAGCCUUCUUAUUGUGACAGAUGACAGAACUUCUAGCAUCUAAACCUAUUUAAAAACUAAGAUGCUAAGAACAGCUGCAGAAACAGCUUUGUACUCCUACCUACCACAUUCCUGUCCCCCCCUCUUUAAAAUACUUUUUGGAUGAAUUUGAUUUUGCUUUCCUAGAAGAUGUACUGCCAUCUACUGUCAAUUGAAGAAAAAUGAAUUUCUAAAGACCCCGGAUUCAGUUUAGAACACAAACAUUAACUGCUUAUUAAAGGACUACACUGGUUUGGAUUGGAAUCAAAUUUCAUGGGUAAACCUCUCUUUUGCCUUGAAUCACAAUGCCAAAAACCAACUGCCCCUGUUUUCUAAGAUUAUUGCAUUACUUAAUAUUCAAGAGAGAAUAUCAUCUUACUAACAUGUUACUUUAAUAGCUGCCCUUGAUUAAAAUUGGUCCCCAAUCAUGCCUAAGUACCAAUUCUAAAGUCAAUUGUCUUAAUUUUAAUAUUGCUGGCACAAGAACAUUUAAGAUUAACUACAUGGUCCCUUGUUCCUUUUUAAAAGUGGAGCAAGUGACAUUAUUUUCUUCCAAGGUCCAGUUCUCUGCUAUUCAGAAGCAAUAGCAAUAAUGAUCCCCCUUUUAGACAAUUCCUACAGUCUUACUUUUCUCCCCACAAAGAAGAACCACCAAAAAAGGACUUCAGUAAUGACACAAUUUCUGUUAACUGUUGGGAGUUGGAGGUAUAUGGAACUCUAUUGCUAUUGGAUUUAAAAAAUAAGGCUGUGUAUUUUUAAAAGCAUUGCUUAAAGAAUUGUAUUAGCUUGACAUGUUCUUGAAGUCAAGUUGCUUGGCAUGACCUAGGUAAAUGUGGUUAAUGCUUUUGAUUAGGACCGAGGCAUGUUAUAGGCCCUAUUCAACCAUAUAUUGAAUCUGAUCACUUAAAUUCUAAUCCUCAACCCACAUCAUAUUAGAGGUAUUACAAGAAUUUAAGAGAAAGGAUAAUGAAAACAGCACCAGGAAAAAUACAUCUUCUAAAGAUAGGUUGAAGGAACAGGGUAUUUUUAAUCCAGUGGUAGCUGGUGGCUUUCAUAUCAAGAGAGACAAUGAAUUUGUUCCAGCAUUUAGGUUGAGAUUUAAAAGGCAUUAUCCAAGGUGCUGAACCCAACUGCUCAAAGUAAGUUCAGCAGUAGGAAAGUUCCUUUAAAAUUCUGGCUAAAAUUUGGACUGCCUCCCUCCCUAGUGCAGAAGCCACUAGCUGUCACAGGUUUUGCCUGGAGAAAAAGCUAUGGAGGGGAAAAUGGCCCUCUUUCAUAGGCUUGGGAGUAAAAUUCCAAAUACUUUCAUUAAUAUUUCACUCCUCUGAUCACUGCCAGAAUAAAUGCCAGUAUCGAUGGCAUGCAAUGCAGGACAUGUCCCUAUGGUUUGAGCUGUCUUGGGAGGAUUUCUUCUCUGUUUCCUUGGAUUCCUCAUUACUUCUGGCAGUUCUACUUGAAAUGAGGUUUUGGUCCUCUUGCACACUUUCCCCAACUGGCUUAUAUGAAAUUAAAUAAAGCUCUGCUUUCAGCACAUGCUAGCUUCUGCCUUGCACAAAGCAAAGAAAUUAACAAAUCAAUACCCACCAACUCUGAUAACACUGGCAAAUUCCCAGAGUGAUCCCUAUCACUAAACUAGAUUUAACCAUUCAUUCUCUUGUCUUCUGCCUAUAAACAAAAUAGUCAAUUCAAACAGUUAAUAUAAGCGGUAUUCCGCUAAGAUGCAAACAAGCCUGAUCUGUCUGACAAUGGUUUUCUGGUGGGAAAAAAAGCAAUUCAAGUUCUAUAGACUGUCUUCACCUCUGAAUAUUGCUAUCUCUUCAGUGUUAAAUAGAGCAAUUUAAAGGGGCCAAAAAUAGUGAGAUCUGGACAGUUUUUAGCGAAACCCCGGAGCAUGGAUAUUGAGUCCCGUUAAGCGGGUGGCCAGUACCAGCAGUGUGCUGCCUGUGGAUCUGUGUGCCUGGUGAGAUGAAGGAGCUAGAUCCAAUCUUCCCCAAUUAAUAAAU